rnacentral:rRNA from 1 species
UACGUAGGGUGCGAGCGUUGUCCGGAAUUACUGGGCGUAAAGAGCUCGUAGGUGGUUUGUCGCGUUGUUCGUGAAAUCUCACGGCUUAACUGUGAGCGUGCGGGCGAUACGGGCAGACUAGAGUACUGCAGGGGAGACUGGAAUUCCUGGUGUAGCGGUGAAAUGCGCAGAUAUCAGGAAGAACACCCGUGGCUAAGGCGGCUCUCUAGUACGGUACUGACGCUGAGACGCGAAAGCGUGGGGAGCGAACAGG